ensembl:lncRNA
CUCUUUUUGCUUACCUGCAAGCAUUUUAGUAUAGUGUUGUGACAUUUUCUUCAUAAAGAAGUAGUAGUCAGUACUCAGUAAUCUGACAUUCCUAAAUGCUUUCACUAAAGCAGGCAAUACAGGCAUCCUUGAAAAAAUUUACAUUACAAUAGUCUUAACUAUGGCUAUUUAAGGCUCUUGUAGCAGUAAGAAGAAAUACAUUUCUGAAAAAGUUACAAUACAGCUGAAAAAGUUUGUAACAAUUCUUCAAUGCUUCAUUGAUUAUAUAUUGCACUUCUAAAGUGAUUUUUUAAUUUAUUUUGUCUUUAAAGGUGCAGUGUGACAUAUGCUCAAGAUGGACGCACAAGGAGUGUAACCCUGCAAACCCUUGCCUCAGAGCAUUUCAAGUGUAAAAAGUGAUUACCUUAAAGCAAGAGACAAACUGAGGGCCUCACUGACCUGUAAUACCUCUGAGUUACAAACAGAUGAUGAGGAAGAAGUCAAUAGGAAGAGAAAAAUUAAGCCAAGGUUUCAUAUUCUGAGACUGACACAUGCAUCAUUUGAAAAUACAUUUAGAAAUAUAUUUGUUAACUAUAGUGU